rnacentral:tRNA from 14 species
AUGGAACAGCGGUAGAAUGUGAGUUUUCCGAUCAUGAGACCCGGGUUCGAAUCCUGUCG